rnacentral:rRNA from 1 species
UGGGGAAUAUUGCACAAUGGAGGGAACUCUGAUGCAGCGACGCCGCGUGAACGAAGAAGGCUUUCGAGUCGUAAAGUUCUUUUAUAUGGGAAGAUAAUGACGGUACCAUAAGAAAAAGCCCCGGCUAACUACGUGCCAGAAGCCGCGGUAAUAAGUAGGGGGCUAGCGUUGUCCGGAAUCAUUGGGCGUAAAGGGUUCGCAGGCGGAAAGGAAAGUCAGGUGUAAAAGGCAGUAGCUUAACUACUGUAAGCAUUUGAAACUGCAUAUCUUGAGAAGAGUAGGGGUAAGUGGAAUUUUUAGUGUAGCGGUGAAAUGCGUAGAUAUUAAAAAGAAUACCGGUGGCGAAAGCGGCUUACUGGGCUCAUUCUGACGCUGAGGAACGAAAGCGUGGGUAGCAAACAGG